GUGUCAGCAGCCGCGGUAAUACAGAGGGUGCAAGCGUUAAUCGGAAUUACUGGGCGUAAAGCGAGCGUAGGUGGCUUGAUAAGUCAGAUGUGAAAUCCCCGGGCUUAACCUGGGAACUGCAUCUGAAACUGUUAGGCUAGAGUAGGUGAGAGGAAGGUAGAAUUCCAGGUGUAGCGGUGAAAUGCGUAGAGAUCUGGAGGAAUACCGAUGGCGAAGGCAGCCUUCUGGCAUCAUACUGACACUGAGGCUCGAAAGCGUGGGUAGCAAACAGGAUUAGAAACCCGGGUAGUCC
rnacentral:rRNA from 1 species